CCUCCCCUCAAUCAACCGGAGGGGGUAUGGAGCAUACUCCACCACGCUUCUCCAAUGCGGGUUGGUGGAGGUGUUUUUACGGCUAAUAGCCGGGACCAACGGCUUAACGUGCCCUCCGAAGCACGGAAUCAUCUUACUUUUUCGGACAAUCAGGUGAUUCAAGCCUGAAAAGUCCUUACCAAACAAAGGACAGUCUCACAAAGUGAUUUCGACAAUGUCCCCAUCGGGAAUCGAACCCGGACCUCCAGAUCGUGAGCCUAUCGCUCUUACCACUAGUCCACGGAGG
rnacentral:lncRNA from 1 species